CAAAAAAUCUCUUCCCUCUUUAACUAUUGGAACAACUAAAAUGGAAAACUGACUAAAAGAGACUGGAGUCUGCAGUGUUUGAAACACCUCUGGGAAAUGAGAAAGCUUAUGGGCUACUAACAGCCUUUAAAUGCUUGCACCGAUGCCAUUAAAUCCAGAUGUUUGACAGGACUCAGCCUUUCUCUGAGUUCUGCCUGCCGCACAGCCAUACGUAUUAGAUGACUUUG
rnacentral:lncRNA from 1 species